ACUAUUUUAAGUCAUUUCGUCAUAGUGCAUAAUAAAGAUAAUCAUUAAUAAAUAUGAAAUAAUUAAGAAAUAGAACUUACUGAACAUUUUCGGCAAAAUUAUGUGAAUCAUCUUCUUCAGUUAUAAAAUCCCAGAUGAUUGCAUAUAUGUUAGCACAUACUAUGUCUUCAUUGCAAUAUUUUUUAAUAGUUCGUCAAUUUAUUUUUGUAUCCAACAUAUAUUUUUCCAAAUAAUAGCAUAAAACAUCAUUCUCUAUAAUGCAAAUAACAUCUCCAAACUAAAUGUAAAAGAUAAGGCAAAAACUAAUAGAAAUUGAUAGAAAAUUAGGAAAGCAAAAUAAGUUUCCUACAUGAAAAAUACGAUAGCACAAUCUCUUAAAAUGUAAAUUUGAAAGUAAUAUGAAGUGAACAUCAGAUUUGCCUACUCUUAGCAAGAAUGUUAAUGACUUCUUCCUUCAGUUUUACCAUUGAAAAUAUAACACAUUGUACCUCGUGACAAUUUUAUUGAUAUAUUUAUAUUAAUAUUUUAAAUGGUAAUGUGUUGCUUAAAAUUGUUUUGAUUCUUUUUAAUUUUAUUUUAUGUAGCGUGAAUUCAAUUGUACAAUCUUUAUCAUUAGAAUGACUUUUUUCCCAUAAAUUGUAAAAAAAUUUCUUCUUUAAUUAAAAUAAGUCUGAAAAAUUAGUACUUGUAAAUUUAACAAAUGACAUAGUAGAUUUCCUCACAAAAGCAA
rnacentral:lncRNA from 1 species